UUUCCUCACUUUUCUCUUAAAAAUAAAAUGCCAUAUCUCCUUCGUCUUUUUAGCCAUGGCCUCCGCCGAGAUCGCGGAUAUCGAGUUCCGAUGCUUCGUCAGUGCGCUCCUCUGGAUCACUGACAUGAGGCGCUGGAGAGAGCCUUUUCCUCCUCCGGUGAGAGAUCAUGAAGGACCGUGAGAUCGGUAGAUCCAGGUGUUUCGGAUUCGUUACCUUCAGCAACGACAAGGACAUGCGGAAGGGGAUCCAAGGAUGCCAGAGCCUUCAUUUGAGACAUUUGAUCUUUUUGGAUGUGCACUAGCUCAUGUUGGUGUGAUGGACUUGCUGUGGUUCCCACGAAUCUACCAUAGGUAAUUCUAUGUCAGGUGACCAUGGGAACAACAUGGAAGCCAACCUCACCACUAUCUAUCAAGAUCACGAUGACUGAUUUGCACCAUUACACCAAUUGAAGUUAUUAAAGGCUGUCUUUUGCAGCAUUCGCACUGCCUGACAACUAGUGGACAUUUGACUGUUUGCUCACUGAAUCAGCUUAUUACAAUUGAUCUAUAGCCGAUGAAACUUUAGGACGAAGCAGCUGAGUCGGUGGAAUUUCUGGAAUAUCUUUUCACUUUUUAUUUUUCAGGAAAAAUGUCUGUAAUGUUUGUCCUCCUUCGUCUGUCAUGUUUCCACCACGUUUUUGGUCCAGUAAGCCCAUAUUACCCAAGAACU